UGAGGAAUAUUGGACAAUGGAUGGAAAUCUGAUCCAGCCAUGCCGCGUGAAGGAAGAAUGUCCUAUGGAUUGUAAACUUCUUUUGUAUGGGAGCAAUAAGGUAUUCGUGAAUACUGAUGAGAGUACCAUACGAAUAAGCAUCGGCUAACUCCG
rnacentral:rRNA from 1 species